UACGGAGGGGGCUAGCGUUGUUCGGAAUUACUGGGCGGAAAGCGCACGUAGGCGGCUUUGUAAGUUAGAGGUGAAAGCCCGGAGCUCAACUCCGGAAUAGCCUUUAAGACUGCAUCGCUAGAACGUUGGAGAGGUAAGUGGAAUUCCGAGUGUAGAGGUGAAAUUCGUAGAUAUUCGCAAGAACACCAGUGGCGAAGGCGGCUCACUGGCCCGGUACUGACGCUGAGGUGCGAAAGCGUGGGGAGCAAACAGG
rnacentral:rRNA from 1 species